rnacentral:rRNA from 1 species
ACGGGUGAGUAACACGUGGGUGAUCUGCCCUGCACUUCGGGAUAAGCCUGGGAAACUGGGUCUAAUACCGGAUAUGACCGCAUGCUUCAUGGUGUGUGGUGGAAAGCUUUUGCGGUGUGGGAUGGGCCCGCGGCCUAUCAGCUUGUUGGUGGGGUAAUGGCCUACCAAGGCGACGACGGGUAGCCGGCCUGAGAGGGUGACCGGCCACACUGGGACUGAGAUACGGCCCAGACUCCUACGGGAGGCAGCAGUGGGGAAUAUUGCACAAUGGGCGCAAGCCUGAUGCAGCGACGCCGCGUGAGGGAUGACGGCCUUCGGGUUGUAAACCUCUUUCAGUAGGGACGAAGCGCAAGUGACGGUACCUAUAGAAGAAGGACCGGCCAACUACGUGCCAGCAGCCGCGGUAAUACGUAGGGUCCGAGCGUUGUCCGGAAUUACUGGGCGUAAAGAGCUCGUAGGUGGUUUGUCGCGUUGUUCGUGAAAACUCACAGCUCAACUGUGGGCGUGCGGGCGAUACGGGCAGACUAGAGUACUGCAGGGGAGACUGGAAUUCCUGGUGUAGCGGUGGAAUGCGCAGA